UGGGGCGUGGUGUAAUGGCAGCACCACAGACUUUGGAUCUGUUGGUCUCGGUUCGAAUCCGAGCGCCCCGG
rnacentral:tRNA from 1 species